ACUGCUCAGUAACACGUGGACAACCUGCCCUUAGGUUGGGUAUAAACCCGGGAAACUGGGUAUAAUACCCGAUAGGUCUCGAUUGCUGGAAUGCAUCGAGAUUUAAAGCUCCGGCGCCUAAGGAUGGGUCUGCGGCCUAUCAGGUAGUAGUGGGUGUAGCGUACCUACUAGCCUACGACGGGUACGGGUUGUGAGAGCAAGAGCCCGGAGAUGGAUUCUGAGACACGAAUCCAGGCCCUACGGGGUGCAGCAGGCGCGAAAACUUUACAAUGCUGGCAACAGCGAUAAGGGAACCUCGAGUGCCAGGUUACAAAUCUGGCUGUCGAGAUGCCUAAAAAGCAUUUCAUAGCAAGGGCCGGGCAAGACCGGUGCCAGCCGCCGCGGUAACACCGGCGGCUCGAGUGGUAACCGUUAUUAUUGGGUCUAAAGGGUCUGUAGCCGGCCGGAUAAGUCUCUUGAGAAAUCUGGCAGCUUAACUGUCAGGCUUUCAGGAGAUACUGUCUGGCUCGAGGCCGGGAGAGGUGAGAGGUACUUCAGGGGUAGGGGUGAAAUCUUGUAAUCCUUGAAGGACCACCAGUGGCGAAGGCGUCUCACCAGAACGGACCUGACGGCAAGGGACGAAAGCUAGGGGCACGAACCGGAUUAGAUACCCGGGUAGUCCUAGCCGUAAACGAUACUCGCUAGGUGUCGGCCACGGUGCGACCGUUGUCUGUGCCGUAGGGAAGCCGUGAAGCGAGCCACCUGGGAAGUACGGCCGCAAGGCUGAAACUUAAAGGAAUUGGCGGGGGAGCAC
rnacentral:rRNA from 1 species